UCAGAGGCACAGGUGAGGAGCACAGGAGAAUGAAAGUAUACCUCUCUCCACAAACCUUGCCAUGCAUUCUAGAGCGCAUUGUAGCGAGACCUUAAUUUAGAACGAACUGAGAACAAAGGGAAGAGAAGGGCUGUCUUGAGCAAGCCUCAGUAUGCUUGCAAAUGGAGCUGAUAUGGAGCUAGAAGACCACAUUUAAAAAAAAAAAAAUAACAAAACAUCUAAAGCCAGUUCAAGUUCUGUGGGAGAGGGCACAAAACUACAGGGUUCCCACUUGGCAUGCGUCUCCCUCUCUAAGACAUUCUUGUGUAUAUCUAUUACUGCAUUUAAAAAUAUGAGUCGGUUGCCAAGGAAACAGGUUCCGGCCCAGUAUUAAUUUCAAACUAAAAUAUUUUUGAGGGGUUAGGCUCAAAGAAAAGAGCACACGAAAUGAUUUUUGAAAGAUGCCAGGAUUUGGCACUUGGAGAGCCACAACUGUUUUUCUGCAAUGAGCCAUUCUAGGGGUUUAGCUUCAUUUAAUGGGGCUCAGUUUCUGUUAAGAGGGCCACGGAAACUUAGCCUUUUUCCCUUAAAAAAAAAAAAUAACUCCCCGCCCAGCCCCCUGCUACAGGCACAAACAGUGGCUUUAUCCCUGUAUAUGACAAAAUAUGACUUUGAAAAGUUUACAUUUUCAUCGUUUGUAUAACACAGUUAAAGUCCGCGUCUUGGAGAUUAACAUUUUUGAUGGUUCCUUUUGAGGUUAUUUACGUUCUUUGAAAUUGUCUCCAGAAACCCACUUGAUUUUUAGUUUCAAACUAAAAUUGAGCCAAAUCACCAGACUCUUCAAAUUCUUCUUUUGUCUAAGUGGCGCCACACCUACCCCACUUUCACAGCAGAAUCACUUUGCAAGUCUAUGCUUAUCUCUAUGCAGGAUUUGAUAGGAGAAGCUAUUCGGUUUAGUGCCAUCCCCAAAUAUUACAAGCAUCUUAGUUAAUUUUUAAAAGUCACAUUUUUAAUGCAUCGGAUGCUGCAUGGUUCCAAAAAAAAAAAAAAAAAAAAAAGUCUGUAAAGCAUGCAAAUGCCAACGUACCUGUACGCACCACUCAGAGACCUGCUAGCAUGACAAGACCCUCGGCCAUCUUUAUGCAAGGCGAUGGAGACCGACUGAUUUCUCCGUCUUCUUGCUCACAAGUUUUAGAGAUGCGGUUGUCACACACACCAAAAAUUGUACGCUGAACAGCUUGAAAGCCUGUGAUCACGAGGACUGAAUUUAUCAACGGCAAAACAGGGACUGAAAAAACUAAGUUCCUUAUCCAAGGAUUCUCUGAGGCUGCCACCAAGGAGGUGCUGGGCUGAAUUUUUUUUUCUCUCUCCCUUACUCCUCUGAGAGUUCAAAGCUCAGAGCUGACCACUGCAAAGGCCACUGUCACAUUUGCUGAAAAUCAAACCACUGAGACCGGCUCUGCGAAUACGAACGUGAGAACCGGAGUUGCUUGCACAGGGCGCAGUGCCUGUGAGUUAAAAAUAGAGUCCACCUUGCCUCCUACCUGCAUAAUAAACAUGCAGUCGAAGGCAUUCCAUGCACUUAGGCAGUGCGGCUGCACGGUGAAUGAAUCGUCGAAUAAAUCGUCUGCUUCUGCAAAUCAAACAGUCCUUGUGCUAAGGAAGGAAGUCAGCUGGAGUGAAUACAGUCAUAUCCUCUUCUUGGAGAGAGCUUGCAAUGCAGUUCACAACCUACUAUCAAGAUACAGAAUCAGUGGUGACUACUGAGCCCAGUGAGUGCCUCCUCAGUCUGGGAUAAUAAAUGACAGUGACAGCAGCGGUCAUCCAUCCCAGGUUCCCUGGAGACGAGUUUUCUACCUAGUUCUGGCUGUCUGAAAGAUCGCUAUAGACCAGAGUCCCCUCAAGCUCAAGAGAUCUGCUUACUUUUGCCUCCUGAGUGUUGGGAUUUCAACUGUUCAUUUACUCCGAACUAAAAUCCAUUCUUCCAUUUCAGGUUUCAGAGAUCACAGGGCGCUGGCAUUACUCAGAGGAUGGCCUGGGUCCCUAACCCCAAGGUCUAAACUAUACAUGUGAGUCCUGAGAUAUAACCUACCUAUCAGAGAGCAGAUACAAUUUCCCUGGCUGAGGCAGGAGGCUGCUUCAGGAGUCAGUCUUAUUGUUGGUGCCUUCUGUCUGCUUCUAGAAGGUUGGGCAUCUUUGGGUCCUGUGUCUAGUUCACUCUCUGCCCCUGAAUCUAUGGGCAAUCAUGGGAAGCAAUGAUCUGUGUUUACUGCACUGCUCUCAUAUUUACAAUAGUUUCCUGGCUCCCUGUCUAAUAACAUCUUUGUGCUGUAACAUACCAGCUAAAGCAAAAGUUCAAAGCCAAAAAGAAAAGUUAAUUUCUCAUUUGGACGUGUGCUAUGGAUUUGGUAGUUUUCCCUCCAGAGUCUAUGUGCUGGAGGCUUGGUGGUGUUGAGGCAGUGAGAUCUUUAGGAAGUGGAGGUUCAUUGGAAGGUAAUUAGGUCA
ensembl:lncRNA